CACUCAUUCAAAGAGUGCGUAAUAGCUCACUGGUCGAGUGAUCCUGCGCCGAAGAUUUCCGGGGCUAAAACUUACUACCGAAGCUACGGCAUCAGUAAUGAUGGGUAGGGGAGCUUCCCAUACGGGUGGAAGCAUGACCGUAAGGACAUGUGGACAGUAUGGGAGUGAGAAUGUUGGCAUGAGUAGCGAGAUGUGGGUGAGAAUCCCACAGGCCGUAAACCCAAGGUUUCCAGGGGAAGGUUCGUCCACCCUGGGUUAGUCGGGACCUAAGCUGAGGCCGAAAGGCGUAGGUGAUGGACAACAGGUUGAUAUUCCUGUACUACCGAUAACCGUUUGAGAGAAGGGAUGACACAGUAGGAUAAGCUAAGCACACUGUUGGUUAUGUGUGCCCAAGCAUUGAGGCAGUCAAAGUAGGCAAAUCCGCUUUGAUAAUGCUGGGAUGUGAUGGGGAGCGAAAUUUAGUAGCGAAGUAGCUGAUUUCACACUGUCAAGAAAAGUCUCUAUCGAGGUUAAAGGUACCCGUACCGCAAACCGACACAGGUGGGUGAGGAGAGUAUCCUAAGGCCAGCGAGAGAACUGUUGUUAAGGAACUCGGCAAAAUGACCCCGUAACUUAGGGAUAAGGGGUGCCACCAUCAGGUGGCCGCAGAGAAUAGGCCCAAGCGACUGUUUACCAAAAACAUAGGUUUCUGCUAAGUCGCAAGACGAUGUAUAGGAGCUGACGCCUGCCCGGUGCUGGAAGGUUAAGGGGAUCUGUUAGAGCAAUCGAAGCAGUGAACUUAAGCCCCAGUAAACGGCGGCCGUAACUAUAACGGUCCUAAGGUAGCGAAAUUCCUUGUCGGGUAAGUUCCGACCCGCACGAAAGGCGUAACGAUUUGGGCACUGUCUCAACAACAGACUCGGUGAAAUUGUAAUUCCGGUGAAGAUGCCGGAUACCUGCGACAGGACGGAAAGACCCCAUGGGGCUUUACUGUAGCUUGUCAUUGGGUCUUGGUACUACAUGUACAGGAUAGGUGGGAGGCUUUGAAACCAGGACGCCAGUUUUGGCGGAGCCAUCCUUGGGAUACCACCCUUGUAGUACUGGGACUCUAACCAUAG
rnacentral:rRNA from 1 species